rnacentral:lncRNA from 1 species
UCUUGUGUAUGCAUGGAUCAAGCAAGACCUAGUUUACAGAUGAAAGUCCAUUCAUCACCAUUUGCAACCUUAAUUUAUAUUACGGAGUUUAUCUGACCCAAUAUAUUGAUCAAGAUAAGAACAGAAAGUGCCGAAGCUCUCUCUCUCUUAUCUUUCUCAAAUCUUUCAGAGAGAGAGUCGACAUCUGAGACUCGCCGGCGGGUUCCGGCGGUUUGAUUCUUGUUUGAUCAAGAAUCUGUUCCGGCAUAGGCGGCUCCUUUAGCACCUUUGGCCGGCUUAUGUCUCCAACGGCGGUUCUGUCUCUUGGAAAGCCGUUGGCUUUUGGCUCCGGCGACACAUCAGCAACUCCGGUGUAAUCGUCGGCUCUUGGCUCUGCCUCUAGCUUCCCUUCUGUUGUAGAUGGAGGCUUUACUCUGGGUUUUUCCUAGAUAUGGAUUGUUCUCCUCUUCUUUGUUCAUCUUCUGGUUCAAUUAUUCCCGGUGAUUGCUUCGUUCUACAUCGGUGUCUAUGGAUUGAAUCUUCCUAAUCUGAAGUGGAGAGGAUAUGGCUUUAGUCUUAAGGCGUUAAUGGGUUCGUCUUUGUCGAAGAUUAAAGCUUCUUGUAUAGUUGUGCUCUCUCGUUCAGUCUCGUCGUCGGUGUAGCUCUUCGAACGGGUUCCUGAUUCCGGUUUGGUUCAGGUGUAACUGCCGACUAGAAUCUCCGCCGGUGACGCUCCAGUCGGUGAAGAGUGAUGGUGGUCUAGUUCUCUGACACGUAUCAUUUCCUCGCUAACAGAGCAACGCGUGGGAGUGUCGAGUGGCCUCAUCACCUUCUUCUUGGGCUAUUUUUUGCUGUGCUCGUUUGUGGGCCUUUGUUGUUGUUUUCCUUUACUAGUCCUUUAGGGGUUUUUGUAUUUUAUGUUUUUUAUUUCAAUAAGAUCAGAAAAAAAAAGAACAGAAAGUGCCAUGAGAUCUUCAUGCAGCCCGUGAGGGUUUUCUUUUUGACAAAGUGAUUUUAAUUUUAAAGCCUGUGAGGUUUUGUUCUUAUAACUUUGGUUAAUGCAUCUUUCGAAUCUAAGAUUUCUCCUGCAUAUAAAAUCCAAUUAUAAGUGAAGAAAUAUGAAAAAGAUAACAAAACAAAUCUGAUGAGGAUAAGACAAUUGAAAAUUGGAAUAGAGAUAGAUUAUUAGAAUUAUUAUGAAUGUCAAUAAUUUGUUUCAAUCAAACAGAGAGAAUUCUC